rnacentral:rRNA from 1 species
CUGGACUGACACUGACACUGAGGUGCGAAAGCGUGGGUAGCAAACAGGAUUAGAUACCCUGGUAGUCCACGCCGUAAACGAUGUCGACCAGCCGUUGGGUGCCUAGCGCACUUUGUGGCGAAGUUAACGCGAUAAGUCGACCGCCUGGGGAGUACGGCCGCAAGGUUAAAACUCAAAUGAAUUGACGGGGGCCCGCACAAGCGGUGGAGCAUGUGGUUUAAUUCGAUGCAACGCGAAGAACCUUACCUACUCUUGACAUCCUGCGAACUUGUGAGAGAUCACUUGGUGCCUUCGGGAGCGCAGAGACAGGUGCUGCAUGGCUGUCGUCAGCUCGUGUUGUGAAAUGUUGGGUUAAGUCCCGUAACGAGCGCAACCCUUGUCCUUAUUUGCCAGCGGGUAAUGCCGGGAACUCUAAGGAGACUGCCGGUGACAAACCGGAGGAAGGUGGGGACGACGUCAAGUCAUCAUGGCCCUUACGAGUAGGGCUACACACGUGCUACAAUGGCCGGUACAAAGGGUUGCGAGCUCGCGAGAGUCAGCUAAUCCCGAAAAGCCGGUCUCAGUCCGGAUCGGAGUCUGCAACUCGACUCCGUGAAGUCGGAAUCGCUAGUAAUCGUGAAUCAGAAUGUCACGGUGAAUACGUUCCCGGGCCUUGUACACACCGCCCGU